rnacentral:SRP_RNA from 1 species
CAUUCGUCCUCUCGCGACGGGCAGCCGUCAACCCCGCCAGGUCCGGAAGGAAGCAACGGUAGCGGUGCGCACGGGCGCCGGGAUGUGGGGGGUGCGC